rnacentral:rRNA from 1 species
UACGUAGGGGGCAAGCGUUGUCCGGAUUUAUUGGGCGUAAAGAGCGUGUAGGCGGCUUGGUAGGUCUCGCGUCAAAACCUGAGGCUCAACCUCAGUUCGCGUGGGAAACCACCUAGCUAGAGUCCGGAAGAGGAGAACGGAAUUCCUGGUGUAGCGGUGAAAUGCGCAGAUAUCAGGAAGAACACCCGUGGCGAAGGCGGUUCUCUGGGACGGUACUGACGCUGAGACGCGAAAGCGUGGGGAGCGAACAGG